CGAGGCGGUUAGCUCAGCAAGUAGCUCUCGUGUGCGGAUAGUUUUCGUGAGGAUUUGACCUCUCGAGGCCUUGAGGAAAAUAUCUAUCGUGUUUGAUAUUUUUCACCUCGCGAGGAAAAAAUCUCAGCGUCUGCGGAUAUUGUGAGCUAAGUGCUGAGCUGUUUGAAUCAAUUAGCCAAUGACAACCCAUAGUUUCUUCAUGUGACAUGGAACAAA